rnacentral:lncRNA from 1 species
CGGCAAUUCAAACACCCCAAGCUGGAGGACUUUUUUCCAAGAUGGCCUGUUGCCGAUAUCAUCCCACCAAGCAGAGACAUGUUUUCUGUCCCUGAUCAUAUGCUCCUUCCCCAAAUCAGCCACCAAGUGCUGGUUAAACGGAAGGUGGCUAAGAUCAGCAAGGCUGAAGAAAUCACCAGCCAAGUACUUGCUCUUUGAGAGCCUCUCCUCAUAAAUGUCCAACACCUUCCCCAGCUUUGCUUCGCUCUCUUGAAUGAUCUUGGGAUCUGAAGGAAAACCCAACGCUGAGGCAAGCAGAAUGUGAACGACUAACUUGUAGACUGGAGGGUGGAAUCUUUGUGCUUCAACCUCUAGCCAUUGUUCCACAAGCCCUCUUUCCUCAAUUGUCUUUCCCAGCAACUCAGUACCCUGGGACUUGAAUUUUUCUGCGUAGUAUCUCAUGAUUGCACGCGAUUCUGCACGUCAGAUUAGAAACCAGUGAACAAGUUUGUGUAUGUCAAACAAAACUCUGUAUUCUUGCUUCCCAAGCAUUCCAAUCGAAUAAUGUUAGGAGAUAAAUAAUGUAACAAAAUGCAUGUAAUGUUAAUUACUUUGGUCCCAAAUUAAAGACCAGAAAGCAGAAAAGGCAGAGCAUACCAUACAGGGUAUAGUCCCCAUCUUGAAUGACAGGAACUUGUCCAAAGGGCUACACAUUUAAAGACAAAGCAAUCCAAAGAUCAAUAUAUUUAUAGUUUCGAAAGAGAUUAUUAUGAGUAGACCAAUCACAAUUAACAAGUGACUUAAUAAUACUAGCUAAAGCUAACCUGUAAUUUGAGGAACUCAGGGUCCUUGUGCUCCCCCUUGAAGAGAUCAAUGGGGAUGAUCUCAAAGUCGAUCUCUUUCUCCACAAGGCAAGCCAGCACACGCUGUGGGGAAGCGUCGACGGAGCCAUACACCUUCACCACCAUUGUGAAUUAGAAGAGCCCGCAGUCUGCACAUUCCAGCUUUUGGUUCUAAGUGGUGUUUGGUUGGGGCAAUGAAAUUGAAUGGUAAUGUUAAUAGGAAAGAUAAUGAAAAUGGAAUUUUGGGAUAGAAAUCCUUAUUUCUAUAUUUGUCCAUAGUUGAUGCAUAUACUUUGUAGAUUGCAGAUUACACAAAUUUGGUUUUUUAAUUCACAUCACACCCCAAAUGAAAUGCAAUUACUCAUUACUGUUUUUCUUUUUCUUUUCAGUUUUCCCAAAAUUAAGAUUACAAUUUACAAACUUUCUUUCACACAUCAACUAUCCAGAAACUGUUUCUUCAUCAUAAUUCAUGACUUUAUGAAUGACAUAAAUAGAUAAUAGAGAAAGGUCAAUGAAUGAUUGGAGAUGAUAUAGCUUAUAAAUGUCAGGUCACUCUUCGAAAUGAUGGAUUGUUCCCUAGCUUAUACAUGACAAAAUAUGGAUCUUAUAGAGGUUGAAAUUUAGAUUCCUUUUGGGAGUGAAAAUUCUGGCGGGGAAAAGAGAGAGAGAGAGAGAGAGAGAGAGAGAGAGCAACCACAAUUGUAAUUCUGGGUAGAUUAUGGUUCACGUUUUAGAAGGAAGAUGGGUAAGACGCACAAAGGUGUUCGGAUCGGAAUGCAUGUGCCCUCAUGCCAUGCAUGCACUAAAGUGAGGUUAUGAAAUAGCAUGAAAACAAUGCGUUUUGCAUUCAUCAAACCAAAUAGCAUGAAAACAAUGUGUUUUGUAUGUACUAAACCAAAUAUUUUUCGAUGCUGAUUUAGUAUCUUGUGUGGGUAACUUGGUUGGGCAGAUCCACUAAUAUGAGGCCAAAGUUGAAAUCAGUGAUAUGUAUGUGCCUCUCAACUGUCCCCAAUUUCUUUUUCUUUACACAAGCAAUAGUCUAAAUUAGGGGGAGAGAGAGAGAGCGAUUGAACUCGGGUGUAAGGGGGUGAGCACACUACCAUGAUCAACUAGCCUAACCCACAUGUACAAUCUACAAUAUCUCUAUAUAAGCAAUUAUUGGGUUAUAACUCAUAGGAAUCAAUUGUAAAUUUGCUCAAUUUGUUGGAGAAAAAAAAGGGUCAUAAAUCGGUUGCAAAGUAGUAUGAUCUUUUUGGAGUUCAAUUCUUCUGUGUCCAACUUAUCUGUGCCCUCUCUGUUUCCUUCUUCGUUUUCUACCACCUGUCCUCACACAUAAUUGAUAGAAAAGAGAGUUGACGGGCUUAUCUAUUAGUUAUGUUGAGUACAACAGCAGAAAUCGAAAAUGGAGACAGGGAGGACCAUAUAAAUUGGACACAAGAGAACUGAACUCUAUUGGUGCAAAGACGGAAACCAAUUUCUAAAGUGAUGUUAUUGCUCGAAUGAAAUUGAAUGCUAAUGUCAAUGGGAAAGGUAAUGAGAAUGGAAUGUUGGAAUGGAAAUCCUUAUUUCUAUUUCUCCACAGUUGAUGCAUACGCUAUGUAAUAGAUGUGAGUAUGAAAGCAAAGCCAACUAAGAGUUAAUAAUGAUCUGAUCAUCUAACAUUCACGAAAGUCAUACAAAAGCAGUUAAAGCUAGGAAAGCUACAAAAACAAAACCAGCUCAAAAAGUCCAAAACCCCCGAACAAAAUGUGAAUUGCUUUGCUAGCUUUGUUUUCAACUAAAGUUCAUCUUUAGAAACUCCAAAAAGCACCCCUCCAAACCAAGAAAGACUUUCAUGAAAUGGGGAUAAUACUAUUUUGUUAUUCCUGUCUAAUAACACUAUGUCACGUGAAAACGCGUCAUAACACUUUCACACGGCAUAGCAUUAUUGGUCGGGGAGCAAAACAGUGAUAUGCCCAUUGCAACUAAGUUUUUCUCCUCUAAACCAUUCAUGAUGCGAACAAAUUUCACAUCCCAAAAUGGGUUUGCCCACUUCUCCUUUCUCAUUUGCUCUGAUCUACUUUUCUUCUUUUCUUCUUUUCCCUUUCCCUUUUCUAAUUCACAUCACGCUCCAAAUGAAAUGCAAUUACUCAAAUUUCUAUUACCAACGAAACUCCAAGCCCUACAGAAAAAAUGUGACAUUUAGGGCCCAUUUGAUAAUCAUUUCAAUUUUAGUUUUUAAUUUUCAUUUUUUGUGCUAGAGUACAGAGGAAAAAGAGGGAGAACGGAAUUGAGAAUGAGAGUGGAAAUAGGAUUGAGAGGGAAGAUGAGAGGGGAGGAUGUGAGGGAGAAGUAACAAAAGUGAAAACAAAAACUAAAAUUUGAAAUCUAUUUGAAAUUGUUCUCCCGUUCAAGUUUUUGUUUUCACUUUUGUUACUCCUCCCCUCCCAUCCAGAGGCGGAUGCACGUUGGCACAAGAGGGGUCCCCCUUGGAAGGCUGGAAAUUUGGGAAGGGACUCCAUGAAAGCCCCCUUGGACAGCUGCUGGAAGCCCCCUUGUACGCACACCAAGUGCUCGACGGAAGUCCCACAAGACGAGCUGGAGUUGCUGUGCUGAGCCUGCGCCUUGCGCGCAGCGCGCGCGGAUUCUAAUUUUUGUUAAAACCAGCCUUGCCAAACGACGUCGUUUGGUCAAGGCUCAGUCAAAUUUUUUUUUAAUUGACCUGGCCUCAAAACGACGUCGUUUUGGGCCUGUUUUAAAAAUUUAAAAAAAAAAAAAAACUGCACAAAACAGAACAGCAACACAUGCUUCGACAGAACAGAACCAAAGCCAUUUCCACAGCCCCUCUUCUCCCACCAUCUGAAACCCUAACCUCCCCAACCUCCCAAUCUUCGAAACUUUUACACUAAGCCCCCUUGGCCACAUAAUCCUGGAUCCGCCACUGCUCCCAUCCUUCCUUCUUAUCCUCUUCCCAAUCUCAUCCUCACUCCCAUUCUCACUCUCAUUUUCCUCUAUACUCUAGCACAAAAAAUGAAAACUAAAAACUAAAAUUGAAAUGGUUAUCAAACAGGCCCUUAGAAAAUAGACUUCUAUAGUGGAAUGGAAUUGAUCUUUCCCAACAAAUCAAUCGUAUUUCAGAAUAAAAACCCAUUCUUACACAUUAAUAAAACAUAAUCCAAGCAAAACCUCAACGUCCAGAACCAUUCAUUCAAGCAUCGGUUUAAUAUCAAAACUUGCAUCACAGAAUCAAAUGUAGGAAGGAAAAAAAAUUGAAGAAGCAGACCAAGAAAUAGCUCAAGUACCUCGUUCUUUCCUUCAAAGGUGAAGGCUUAACCCAAGACUUGGCAGAUGGGUCUGGCCGUCAGCGAGAGUGUGAAGAUGGAGUGAGAAGAUAGAUAAAAGAGAUAAAGGAGAGCGAGAAAGACAAAGCUUUUAACAUCGAACUUCGGUUUUUGGGUGAAGUUAAAUCAGAACAAAAGCUAGGACAAGCUAGCCCACAGGUUGCUUCUAGCUAAGCCACCAACUUUACUAAAAUCCAGCCCAAACCCAAAAAUGGACUGGCUUUAAAACCCCUCCCAAAUCCAGCUUGAGCAUUCAUAAUUCAAAAAUGAGGAACUUACUCAACCAAGCAGUUAACCAUAACAAGUUGUCAAGACAAAGCAAAAAAGGAAAGGUAAAGAAGUCUAUUGAUGCAGCAAUAAUACUUUAGUAAAUUUAGGUUUUACCCAUAAAAAAACUUUCACUUUUGGAAAAAGCCAAAGCUUUUUGAAAAAAGACAGAAUAACCUCUCAACUUUCAAACCAAAGACAUGCAAAUGUAAAGGAUUUCUUAAGAAAUCAAAAAAUAAAUAAGGGCAAUUUUGUCCAUUUUUGCUUGUUUUAAAAAUUUUCUCUCUCCUUUGGGCUUUUCCAAAGUCUCCCUAAUACUUUACCAUGUGCCAAGAGAGAAAGCAAAUGAUGAAGGACAUAGCACAUCAUUAUUCUUACAAGUAGUUUUGAUUAUUUAUUUUUGCCCAAGCCCAAGCCCAAGCCCAAGGUACAGAAAUUCAUACAUACUAACGUUCACAUGACAUGACUAAGCGAAAAACAUUGUAUGCACCGGCUGUAUGCAAAAAUACAUCUGCCCUAAAAUGGGGUACCAAACUCGAGGACCUUCUUCCAAGAUGGUCUGUUGCUAAUAUCAUUCCACCAAGCAGAGACAUGCUUUCUGUCCUUUAUCAGAUACUCCUUCCCCAAAAGAGUCACCAUAUACUGAGUAAAUGGAAGGUGGCUAAGAUCAGCAAGGCUGAAGAAAUCACCAGCUAAGUACUUGCUCUUUGACAGCCUCUCCUCAUAAAUGUCCAACACCUUCCCUAGCUUUUCUUCACUCUCUUGAAUGACCUUGGGAUCUGAAGGAAAACCCAAUGCUGAGGCAAACAAAAUGUGAAGGACUAAGUUGUUGAGUGGUGGGUGGAAGUUGUGUGCUUCAACCUCUAGCCAUUGCUCAACUAGCCCUCUUUCCUCAAUUGUCUUCCCUAGCAAAGCAGUCCCUUGAGACUUGUAUUUUUCGGCAUAGUACCUUAUGAUUGCGCGUGAUUCUGCGGAUUAAAGACAGUUUUAUCAAAGAACUUGUUAGAUCAUUAUGUUGAUGAUGCUGAUAAGAAACCAGUGAACACUAUUGUCAAAGAAAAAAAUUUCAAAACUUUCUUACUUCCCAAACAGUACAAUCCCAAUUUGAUGCUCUACAGAGAUUCAAAUGAUGAAUUGAAGCAAACCCACAAAAUGGUAUGCUAAAAGAUGAAGAAAAAUGAAAUGUAACGCUAACUUUGAUCCCAAAAUUAAAGAUUUAGCAUACCAUAUAAAGUAUAAUCCCCAUCUUGAAUGAGAGGAACUGUUCCAAAGGGCUACAUUUAAAGACAAAAGCAAUACAAAUUAAGAUCAACCGUCAUAUAUACAGAUGAUAAAUAUGAUUUCCAAAGAGAUGAUGAGCAGAAACAAUCACAAAAGAUUGAAUUAAUAGCAAAAGGUGACCUGCAAUUUGAGAAAUUCAGGGUGUUUGUGCUCUCCCUUGAAGAGAUCAAUGGGAAUGGUCUCAAAGUCGACCUCUUUCUCAACAAGACACACCAGCACACGCUUCGGGGAAGCAUAGGCAGCGCCAUACACCUUUACCACCAUUCUUACUGUUUCAGCGAGAAACCAAGUAUUUAGAUCUCGGUCUGCAGAGUACCCUAGAUUUUGGUUUCUUAGUUCUUAUAGUAGUUAAGGUGUGAUAUGCUCAUGCUUUAAGGUGUGAUAUGCUCAUGCCUAGUGGUCCAAUAAUUGCCCUCUGCACUCCAAAACAGAUAAACUCAUAAGAUUUUUUGCGCACUCAGAUUUUUUGUUCUUUUCUUUUUUGAAGGCUGUGAGUAGCUAGUGAGUAGUAGGUAGGCGGUCACAUGAAGAUAAUUCUUUAACAGGUAAAAGACAAUUAUGAGUGGAUACUGCUUGUCCCCUCCGAAAUGAGAUAAUUCAUUAAAAACACAAAACAAAAACAAAAAUUAUACACACAUCACAUUAUACACGCGUCACAUUAUUGACAAGAAUAUAUAGACUCUAUUUAUAUAGUAAGGAGGAAAAUAUUUUUCAUUAUGGUAGCCUUUGACAUCAUAGUUCUAUUUAGGCUGCUGUGCAUUGCGUGAGCAAUUAAAAAAAGUGCCAAAGGGGUUCAGAAUGCAUGUGCCACCAUGCCAUUCAUGCACUCAAGUGAGGUUCUGAAAUUGUAUGAGAACAAUGCGUUUUGUAUGCUCCAAAUCAAAUGUAGCAUGAAAACAUUGUGUUUUGUAUUCACCAACCCAAAUAGCAUGAAAACAAUGUGCUACUGAACCAAAUAUUUUUGGAUUCUGAUUGAAUAUCUUGUAUGGGUAGCUUGGGCACAUUCACUAAUACGAGAUGCCAAAGUUCAAAUGAGUGAUAUGUAUGGGCCUCUCAACCGUCUUCAAUAGUCUAAAUUAUGAUAAAUGACAAUCAAACUUGCAUGGGAAUAGAAGCACUACUUUGAUCAAUGAGCCUCGCUCAUAUCUAUAAUCUACAAUUUAUUUUUUUAGGUAAUUACGAGGGAAUAACUCAUAAAAAUCCAUUGUAAAUUUGUUCAAUUUGUUAGAGGAAAAAAAAGGGACAAAAAAAAGGAGAGAGAUAUUUUUAAAAGAAUUCAAAAUGGACAAAAAUACCCUUAUUUAUUUAUGGAUUUCUUAAGAAAUCCUCUACAUGUGCAUGUCUUUGGUUUGAAAAUUGAGGAGUUUUUUUGUCUUUUUAAAAAAAAAAUUUAUUUUUUUCAAAAAUAAAAGAUUUUUUUGUGGCUAAAACCUAAAUUUAUUAAAAGGUUGAUAAAUCAGUUGCAAAGAUCUAUGAUCUUUUUGCAGGCUAUUCAAAGACAGAAACCAGUUUAGGCCCAAACUGACAGAUUGCUUCUCAGUGCUCAGUAGUCAGUAGUAAGCCACCAACCUUUCUAAAGUCCAGGCUCAACCCAAAAAUAUGAAUUAUACCAAGCCAUUAAUCAUGCACUCAAAUUACUCACCACACCCAUACCUUAAUCUAAAUAUUGGUUCAAAAACCUACCAUUGUCUAACAAAAAGCUUGUAGUUCAAGUGAUUAAGAGUAACUCCACCCAUUUGCCUUUAGCCAUGGCAAAGAGGGAGGUAGGGCAGUCACUAUUCACAUGAAUAGUGAUUGCCCUUGCAAAUAGUAUUUUGUGUUUCCACCUAUUGCCAUGGCUAAGGGCAAUUACUAUUCAUUUUUUUGUUUUUUCACAACUUUUUUUUACUUAAAUAAUUAAUUUGGAUAAUAUUUUCGGAUAAGAUUUUUGGGUUCCUACGUGUCAAUACUAUUCAUAUCGGAUAAGAUUUUAUUUUAUUAGUUGUAUUGGUUGGUAUUUAUAGAAAAAAAAAAGUAUGAGGAUUUUAUGUUAAAAGUGAAGAGUAUUGGUUGGUAUUUAUAGACACGGGCGGACCCAUAAUUUUUUUAGUGGAGGUGCAAUAUUGGCUAAGUAUGAAAAAUGGUUUUUCGGAAUAAUCAUUUUCUCAAGAUAAUUUUUGGCGGCUUUUAUUCCUUACACAUCAAAUAAGAAAACUUGAUUUUAUGGGAUUUUAAUAUGAAGUAUAUAUUGACUUAAUGAGCCAUCAUUUUUAGCCUAAAUUGUAUUUUGCACUAAAACCGAUUUUUCAUAUUUUGAUUUGGUGGGAAUUUGAUUUUCUAGUAUUUUUAUUUGAAUCCAAAUGGGGGGUACUUCCUUAUUUACAUUGUAAACUUAAGUAAAUGGAGUAAUAUAAAAAUAAAUGAAUGUAAACUUGUUGAAAAUGGAAAUAAGGUAUAGAGAGGAAAAUGUUGAGUAUAAAGAGUGAAUAAUGGUAGAAGUAAAAGAAAAUGUAAGAGGAUUGGUAUUGAAAGGUAUUUAUAGAAGAAAAAAUCUGACUUUUUAAGAAUUUUUUUUUAAAAAAAUUUAAUACUGGGCGAUGACGUCACGCUGACGCAAGCCGUGACGUCAUCAGCCUGGGUUUCGAAUGCGGGCUGAACUGGCCCUCGGGCCAGCCCGAGUUGGUGGGUCCCACACGCAACCCGGGCCUGGGCUCCCCGCUGGAACGAAUUUUUUUUUCGGCCCCCCCCCCAGCCUUGGGCUCGGUCUCUCCGGUGAAACCGCUCUAAGAGCAUUUAUCUCUACACUUGAGGUCCUAAGUUCGAUUUUCCUUCCCCAAUAAUGCUUGUAUCCAAAAAUUAAAAAAUUAAAAAAGUUUGGAUUAUACAAGAGGAGAAAUAACUACUGCCUUUAACAAACAAAACCUUUCCAACUCCAUCAUAUUAAUCCACUUGUACACCCGGAAUGGAUUACAGAUCCAGCAAGAAUGCUUUUUUAAGUCCUAAGAGAGAGCAAAUUACAAGGGGCGGAGCUUCUUAUUCCCACAAGUACUUUUGAUUAUUUAUUUUGGCCAAAGCCCCAAGGCAAAAGAAUUCUUGUGUACAACCAGUGAAUCCAACGUUCCUCCAACAAUAAUUCCCUCACAUGUCGUUCACGUGACAAAUUAUUACGAUACACAUUGUAUACACUGGUUGCAUGCAAAAAUUUCUUCCCAUACCUUAAAAUGGGGCACCAAACUGCUGGAGGACCUUCUUCCAAGAAGGUCUGUUGCUAAUAUCAUCCCACCAAGCAGAGACAUGCUUUCUGUCCUUUAUCAUAUACUCCUUCUCCAUACUAUUUGCCAAGUAGUAGGUGAAUGGAAG